rnacentral:rRNA from 1 species
UUUGAUUCUGGCUCAGAACGAACGCUGGCGGCGUGGAUAAGACAUGCAAGUCGAACGCUAGUUAGGGAGUAGCAAUAUUUCCUGACUGGAGUGGCGCAAGGGUGCGUAACACGUGGGUAAUUUGCCGUAAAGUUGGGGAUAACUCGCUGAAAGGCGAGCUAAUACCGAAUGUGAUUGGUUGGGAGCAUUCCCGGCCACUCAAAGUUGGGGACCGCAAGGCCUGACGCUUUACGAUAAGCCCGCGGCCUAUCAGCUAGUUGGUGAGGUAACGGCUCACCAAGGCUAAGACGGGUAGCUGGUCUGAGAGGACGACCAGCCACACUGGAACUGAGACACGGUCCAGACACCUACAGGUGGCAGCAGUCGAGAAUUUUUCUCAAUGGGCGAAAGCCUGAAGGAGCGACGCCGCGUGGGGGAUGAAGGGAUUCGUCUUGUAAACCCCUGUCAUUUGCGAACAAACCUUUUGGUUGAACAGGCCAAAGGCUGAUUGUAGCGAAAGAGGAAGGGACGGCUAACUCUGUGCCAGCAGCCGCGGUAAUACAGAGGUCCCGAGCGUUGUUCGGAUUUACUGGGCGUAAAGGGUGCGUAGGUGGCAAGGUAAGUUUGGUGUGAAAACUCCGAGCUCAACUCGGAAACUGCAUUGAAUACUAUCUUGCUUGAGGAUCGGAAGGGAGACUGGAAUUCUCGGUGUAGCAGUGAAAUGCGUAGAUAUCGAGGGGAACACCGGUGGCGAAGGCGAGUCUCUGGACGAUUCCUGACACUGAGGCACGAAAGCUAGGGGAUCAAACAGGAUUAGAUACCCUGGUAGUCCUAGCUGUAAACGGUGCACAUUUGCUGUAGGCGGAAUCGACCCCGUCUGUGGCGAAGCUAACGCGUUAAAUGUGCCGCCUGGGGAGUACGGUCGCAAGAUUAAAACUCAAAGAAAUUGACGGGGGCCUGCACAAGCGGUGGAGUAUG